CGGGGGGAACAAGCGUUGUUCGGAUUUACUGGGCGUAAAGGGCGCGUAGGCGGCCACGACAAGUCACUUGUGAAAUCUCCGGGCUUAACUCGGAACGGUCAAGUGAUACUGUCGGGCUAGAGUGCAGAAGGGGCAACUGGAAUUCUCGGUGUAGCGGUGAAAAUGCGUAGAUAUCGAGAGGAACACCUGCGGCGAAGGCGGGUUGCUGGGCUGACACUGACGCUGAGGCGCGAAAGCCAGGGGAGCGAACGGGAUUAGAUACCCCGGUAGUCCUGGCCUUAAACGAUGAAUGCUUGGUGUCUCGGGUUACAUAGUCCCGGGGUGCCGUCGCUAACGCUUUUAGCAUUCCGCCUGGGGAUACGGUCGCAAGACUG
rnacentral:rRNA from 1 species